UGUGCCAGCAGCCGCGGUAAUACGUAGGGCGCAAGCGUUGUCCGGAAUUAUUGGGCGUAAAGAGCUCGUAGGCGGUUUGUCGCGUCUGCUGUGAAAACCCGAGGCUCAACCUCGGGCCUGCAGUGGGUACGGGCAGACUAGAGUGCGGUAGGGGAGACUGGAAUUCCUGGUGUAGCGGUGGAAUGCGCAGAUAUCAGGAGGAACACCGAUGGCGAAGGCAGGUCUCUGGGCCGCAACUGACGCUGAGGAGCGAAAGCAUGGGGAGCGAACAGGAUUAGAUACCCUGGUAGUCCAUGCCGUAAACGUUGGGCACUAGGUGUGGGGCUCAUUCCACGAGUUCCGUGCCGCAGCAAACGCAUUAAGUGCCCCGCCUGGGGAGUACGGCCGCAAGGCUAAAACUCAAAGGAAUUGACGGGGGCCCGCACAAGCGGCGGAGCAUGCGGAUUAAUUCGAUGCAACGCGAAGAACCUUACCAAGGCUUGACAUAUACCGAAAACUCAUGGAGACAUGGGGUCCGCAAGGGCGGUAUACAGGUGGUGCAUGGUUGUCGUCAGCUCGUGUCGUGAGAUGUUGGGUUAAGUCCCGCAACGAGCGCAACCCUCGUCCUAUGUUGCCAGCACAUCAUGGUGGGGACUCAUAGGAGACUGCCGGGGUCAACUCGGAGGAAGGUGGGGAUGACGUCAAAUCAUCAUGCCCCUUAUGUCUUGGGCUUCACGCAUGCUACAAUGGCCGGUACAAAGGGCUGCGAUACCGCAAGGUGGAGCGAAUCCCAAAAAGCCGGUCUCAGUUCGGAUUGGGGUCUGCAACUCGACCCCAUGAAGUCGGAGUCGCUAGUAAUCGCAGAUCAGCAACGCUGCGGUGAAUACGUUCCCGGGCCUUGUACACACCGCCCGU
rnacentral:rRNA from 1 species